UAAAAGUUCCUACAUUUAAUGUGAGGUCAGAACUAAUGACUUGGGUCUUGUCCUUCAUUUAAACAUCUUGAGCAACAUCUCCCUC